UACUUUUCUUCCUUGUGCCUCAAAUCACACAAAGGAACAAUUUAGAAGUCACGUCCUUGUAAAACAUUCCACUUGAGGUGUUGUGAGCUAGAUGACCUUGUAAGGGUAGGAGGGAAUAUUACAAGAAAAUAACUAUGUUGUUCCUUUGUGGGUGAUCACACAAAGGAACAUUUUUAGAAUUAGGUAAUGCCGAGAUACAUAGAUAAUGCAUGCUACAAGGAAUUUGCUAACAAAUAUAAUGCCACGCUUGCUACAAUAAAGUGGCCAGUCUAACACACUGCUGUUGUCUGUGUCCAUUUUACUUUUGUUUUAUUUUAUUUUCACUUUUUCGCCAACACGUUCAUCCUUCGGGAACCCCUGGACCUGCUGGAGCUGGACUCCGGCAAAUGAUUAUCACAGUUAAAAAUAUGUUUCCUUAUACUGCUCAAAUCCUGGGAAAGAAGGCUGAGAACUGAUAUUAGGAUAUCAACCUAAGCAGAUGGGGGAGAAAGAAAUUCAAAUUGUGUAGAGACUGCAUCACCAUUCGGUAGAAUUUGCCAUGGUUAUAAAGCUGGCUUUUGAGAAAAUUUCAUAAACAAUUUCUGCAGAUAAGCAUCCAUUCUCUCACUCGGAGGUCCACAACAAUGUUUUUUUUGGUAGGCAUAAUUGCCUAUUCUUAUGUUAUUUCAGAGGAGAAACUGUGUUUUGAGUUUGAUAUUAGACUCUGCAGUCCAGCUGCCUUUAUUUUAUAUAGGUCUGCUUCUGUAGCUAUUCUACAAGCCUUUAGGGAGCGGUGAAGAGGAGUAAACCAUAGACCUAAAGAAGCAUUUACCAUAGGUGAAUAUUUAAUUAGUCCCUUGUUCGACAGGAUUGACCCUCACUAUGGAUCUACUAUAAAAAUUUCCCUGUAAUAAAAACUGCACUUGAUACUUUUGUCUCAGGGAAGUACUUCAAAAUAUACACAACAUAUCUUAGAAAUCAGAGAGGAACCGUCUACAGUGCAAUAAAUUAUUCCUGAUACAUUGCCAUUUUGUUUACGAAUUAUGGUUUCUGUAUUCUCAAUUUAUAUGCCAACCUUACACAAUAAACUACAUAAAAGAAAAAAAAGGCCCAAAGAAAGUCAAAAUAUUUCAGAGAAAUGAUCAUUUUUGACAGGACAAGUUUAAACAAUUAAAAAACACCAUAAGAAAACAUAUUAUG